UUCGUCUCGGAAUCGGAUAUUUGAUGAUGUUUAGUUUUUCGGCUGCUGCUCCCCUCCCUCCAUGCUGCUGCUCCCGACCUCUGACCUGCAGGUCAGCUAUCUGAAGGAUUUUUCUGGUGGCUGAUGAACCUUCAUCCAUCACUGAUGAAGGUCAUAUUAUACUUUAUUUAUAUUUUAUUUUGUCCCCAUGUUGGUGUUGUUGGUUAAUUUCGUAGUGAAUCCUGUAAUGAUUAUUAAUAAUUAUAAAUAAUUUGCACUGAUCUGAAAUGUCUGAGAGCUGACUGAAUCACAUUAAAUGAUUUUGUUGUUUUAAUGUGUGAAAAAACAAAUUUUUGAGGCAUUUAAUGAACAUCAAUGUUUCAGUAAUUGAUCAGCUCAGAAUCAAUGGCUCUCCUCACUGGCAGCUUUUUCAUCUCACCUCAAGUUCAGUUUUGCUGCUUUGUUCAUUCGUUUGUGACCUGGGAAUAAAAGGGGUCGACCACUCGGCCCUGAGGGACUCCAGGUUUCUGCUCCAAACAUCAAGUCACUGCAGAAUUAGAAAACUGCUUCCGGAAUAACAGACAGACGACGACGCUGCCGAAGGAUCAUCUCUGUUUUGUAUAUUUGUAUAUUUUGUGUUUUUGUAUUCUCUGGGUUAACUGGUCACUUUGUGUUCACGGCUCCAGACGUGAUGUGAAGUCUGGACUGCUUCCUCUGCUAACCGUGUUCUGUCUGAAAAUAAAAACUGGUUCAUGCUGAAAAGA